rnacentral:lncRNA from 1 species
CGACCAUUUCGAGUUACAACCAGCUCUGGCCGCAAAAUUUUGCUUCUACUUGUGACUGGAGCGUCCUCUUAUGAACAAAAAAAGCAGGAAAUUCAAAUUUCUAACUGUAGGUUGUGACGAGGCUGCUUCUUUGUAGCUCUUUCGCCCCAGCAUUUAGAGAGUGUGCAUCAGAAGAGGCUUGGGACUGCCUCCUUCUGCUUCUGAGUGAGUGUGUGUGUGUGUUUGCAGGGAGGCUUUGGGCUGCCUGGUAAGGUAAGGUGCUGUUUUCUGCUUUUUAAAAACUGUUCUGGGUGUUUUUCCAGCGUGGUUUUGGGCUGGGGGGUUUUAUGUUUCUGUGCUGUGAUGGGUCUUGGGGGAGUUGUUUGUUUUUUGUUCUCCCCCCAUUUCCAAUGGGUCUUGAGGUUUUUUGUUACUUUUUGGAGUGUUUUUUCCCAUUUCUGAUGGGUCCUGGGGGGUUGUUUGUUUUUUGGUUUCCGACCCAUUUCCAAUGGGUCUUGGGAGGUUUGGUUGCUUUUGGGGGUUUGCCCCCAUCUCCGAUGGGUCUUGGGGGGUUUGUUUGUUUUUUAGCUUCCCCCAUUUUGAAUGGGUCUUGGGGGGGUUGGUUGCUUUUUGGGGUUUGUCCCUAUUUCCGAUGGGUCCUGCAUGCUUCCCUUGCUUUUUUCCUUUGUUUUCUUUGCAUUUCCGACCUGCCCUCUUUGUUCUCUGUGCAUUUCCGAUCUGCUCUGUUUGUUUUCUGUGCAUUUCCAAUGGGUCUUGCACACUUGAUUGCUUUUCAUUCUUUUCCCCCCCUUCAGCCAGAAGGGAUCAUGUUUCCAAUGAGUCUUGCAGUGAUUUUUGUGUGUGUGAUUUUUUUCUUUAGCCAGAAAGGAUUAAUUACAUUUCAAUGCAUUCCUAUGGGAAAUGGUGCUUCGACUUACGACCACUUCGAGUUAAGUCCCUGUUCUGGAACGGAUUAUGGUCGUAAGUCGAGGCGCCACUGUACAAAGACAGAAACAUUUGACUUAAUCGAAAUGGAAUAAAU